rnacentral:rRNA from 1 species
AUAUCUAUUAUAAAGCUAAAAUUUUAUUGACACUAACAGAAUAGUGUAUUUCAAAGUUGUUUAUGUAAAAUUACUUAAAACUUUUCUAAAUAAGUGAUAUUUAAACACAUAUUUUUAUAUAUUUAAAUUUGUCUAUAUAAUAGUGGGUACAAUCUUUCUAUUUAGUAAUUUAUGCUCAUUUCUAAAUAACAUAAUUUUAUAAUAGAAUAAAAGUUUAUUUGGGACCAGGAUUAGAUACCCUGUUACUAAACUUAAAAUUUCUAAUUUAAUUAUUAAAUUAUUUUGAUAAAUAAAAUAUACUUUAUAUAUAAAAUAUAUGAGAGUUUAUAAAAUAAUUGAAUAAAAUUAUUUGAGUAGUAAAAGUCUAGCUUCAAACUCAAAGAAAAUUGGCGGUGCUUUAAAUUUUCAGGGGAACUUGUUAAUUAAUUUGAUAAUCCACAAUAUACCUUACCACCAUUUGAAUUAAAAAUAAAUAUUGUUUAUCUAAUAAUUUUCAGUCUAUGUACGGCUGUCUAGAUUCUCUUUAAGAGGAAAUCUUAUCUACUUUAAGUUUUUAUAAAAUAGACGACUUAUUAAAUAUAAAAUAUAUAAAAAUAAGAUUAUUUAUUAUUUCCUAAUAAUUUAUUUUGUAAAAUUAAUAUUAUAAAAAUUUAAGUAUAAUGUCAAGUAUAUGUGUAGCUAAUAUGGUGGGUUAAAAUGAGUUACAAUUUAAUUUAAUCUAAUUUUUGGAUUUAGUAUAUUUUAAAUAAAUACUAUUAAAUAAGAUAUUACUUCCAAAUAUUACUAUAAUUAUUUAGGAUAAUAUAAGUUAUGAAAUUUCAUAAUUUAAAUUGAAUAUAUUAUUUAUUCCUUGAAUGAAACAUUUUUUAUAGUAGGACUUGAAUGUAAGAAUGCUAUAUAUAUUUUAUUUUUUACUCAAACCUUAUAUAUUAUAAUUUAUUAUAACUAAAUAAUUUGCCUUUUAAAUCAUUAUUAUUUUAAAAUGAGUCAUGAUAAUUUAAAAUUUAGUAGAUAAAGCAUCUGAAUGUAUCUUAAAGUGUGUACAUAUCGCCCGUCGCUCUUCCUGUGAAAACUAAUGCUGAUUAGGGAAGAUUAAUUAUGUUAAUUUCUUUCUUUUUCACGCUUACUAAUUCUGUGUUAAUAAUUAUUUAGUAAGCUC